CCUACGGGAUGCAGCAGUGAGGAAUAUUGGUCAAUGGACGAGAGUCUGAACCAGCCAAGUAGCGUGAAGGAUGACUGCCCUAUGGGUUGUAAACUUCUUUUAUAUGGGAAUAAAACGUUCCACGUGUGGGAUUUUGUCUGUACCAUAUAAAUAAGGAUCGCCUAACUCCGUGCCAGCAGCCGCGGUAAUACGGAGGAUCCGAGCGUUAUCCGGAUUUAUUGGGGUUAACGGGAGCGUAGGUGGAUUGUUAAGUCAGGUGUGAAAGUUUGCGGCUCAACCGUAAAAUUGCAGUUGAAACUGGCAGUCUUGAGUACAGUAGAGGUGAGCGGAAUUCGUGGUGUAGCGGUGAAAUGCUUAGAUAUCACGAAGAACUCCGAUGGCGAAGGCAGUUCACUGGACUGCAACUGACACUGAGGCUCGAAAGUGUGGGUAUCAAACAGGAUUAGAUACCCUGGUAGUC
rnacentral:rRNA from 1 species